CUGUUGCUUUUCCCUCUAUUACAAUGAUUAGCUUAAUGUAUUUCUAUAAAUGCAGUUAGAAUGGCAGUUGCACAUUAGUGAUAAAUUGAUUG